AUGAACAAAGCUAGUGGAGGGGAUGGAAUUCCAGUUGAGCUAUUUCAAAUCCUGAAAGAUGAUGCUGUGAAAAUGCUGCACUCAAUAUGCCAGCACAUUUGGAAAACUCAGCAGUGGCCACAGGACUGGAAAAGGUCAGUUUUCAUUCCAAUCCCCAAAAAAAACAAUGCCAAAGAAUGCUCAAACUACCGCACAAUUGCACUCAUCUCACACGCUAGUAAGGUAAUGCUCAAAAUUCUCCAAGCCAGGCUUCAGCAAUACAUGAACCAUGAACUUCCUGAUGUUCAAGCUGGUUUUAGAAAAGGCAGAGGAACCAGAGAUCAAAUUGCCAACAUCCACUGGAUCAUGGAAAAAGCAAGAGAGUUGCAGAAAAACAUCUAUUUCUGCUUUAUUGACUAUGCCAAAGCCUUUGACUGUGUGGAUCACAAUCAACUGUGGAAAAUUCUGAGAGAGAUGGGAAUACCAGACCACUUGACCUGCCUCUUGAGAAAUCUGUAUGCAGGUCAGGAAGCAACAGUUAGAACUGGACAUGGAACAACAGACUGGUUCCAAAUAGGAAAAGGAGUACAUCAAGGCUGUAUAUUGUCACCCUGCUUAUUUAACUUCUAUGCAGAGUACAUCAUGAGAAACGCCGGGCUGGAAGAAGCACAAGCUGGAAUCAAGAUUGCCGGGAGAAAUAUCAGUAACCUCAGAUAUGCAGAUGUCACCAUGCUUAUGGCAGAAAGUGAAGAGGAACUCAAAAGCCUCUUGAUGAAAGUGAAAGAGGAGAGUGAAAAAGUUGGCUUAAAGCUCAACAUUCAGAAAACGAAGAUCAUGGCAUCUGGUCCCAUCACUUCAUGGGAAAUAGAUGGGGAAACAGUGGGAACAGUGUCAGACUUUAUUUUGGGGGGCUCCAAAAUCACUGCAGAUGUUGAUUGCAGCCAUGAAAUUAAAAGAUGCUUACUCCUUGGAAGGAAAGUUAUGACCAACCUAGACAGCAUAUUAAAAAGCAGAGACAUUACUUUGCCAACAAAGGUCCCUCUAGUCAAGGCUAUGGUUUUUCCUGUGGUCAUGUAUGGAUGUGAGAGUUGGACUGUGAAGAAAGCUGAGUGCCAAAGAAUUGAUUCUUUUGAAGUGUGGUGUUGGAGAAGACUCUUGAGGGUCCCUUGGACUGCAAGGAGAUCCAAGCAGUCCAUUCUAAAGGAGAUCAGCCCUGGGUGUUCUUUGGAAGGAGUGAUGCUAAAGCUGAAACUCCAGUACUUUGGCCACCUCAUGCGAAGAGUUGACUCAUUGGAAAAGGCUCUGAUGCUGAGCGGGAUUGGGGGCAGGAGGAGAAGUGGGCGAGAGAGGAUGAGAUGGCUGGAUGGCAUCACUGACUCGAUGGACGUGAGUCUGAGUGAACUCUGGGAGUUGGUGAUGGACAGGGAGGCCUGGUGUGCUGCAGUUCAUGGGGCUGCAAAGAGUCGAACACGACUGAGUGACUGA
rnacentral:lncRNA from 1 species